rnacentral:rRNA from 1 species
ACAUGCAAGUCGAACGGCUCUUCGGAGCAGUGGCGGACGGGUGAGUAACGCGUGGGAACGUGCCCUUUGGUUCGGAACAACACAGGGAAACUUGUGCUAAUACCGGAUGUGCCCUUCGGGGGAAAGAUUUAUCGCCAUUGGAGCGGCCCGCGUUGGAUUAGGUAGUUGGUGGGGUAAUGGCCCACCAAGCCGACGAUCCAUAGCUGGUCUGAGAGGAUGAUCAGCCACACUGGGACUGAGGCACGGCCCAGACUCCUACGGGAGGCAGCAGUGGGGAAUCUUGCGCAAUGGGCGAAAGCCUGACGCAGCCAUGCCGCGUGAAUGAUGAAGGUCUUAGGAUUGUAAAAUUCUUUCACCGGGGAAGAUAAUGACGGUACCCGGAGAAGAAGCCCCGGCUAACUUCGUGCCAGCAGCCGCGGUAAUACGAAGGGGGCUAGCGUUGCUCGGAAUUACUGGGCGUAAAGGGCGCGUAGGCGGACAGUUAAGUCAGAGGUGAAAGCCCAGGGCUCAACCUUGGAAUUGCCUUUGAUACUGGCUGUCUUGAGUUCGGGAGAGGUGAGUGGAAUGCCGAGUGUAGAGGUGAAUUCGUAGAUAUUCGGCGGACACCAGUGGCGAAG